GUUAUUAAAAUGCAGCGACGACGGAAUAAAAUAGAGACAUCACGAAGUUUCCUCGCACUAAGAAUCGAUCAUAGUGACGAAAGCUUCAGAAAACCCUGAGAACGAUGGCGUCCUGUAAGAAAAACAUUUUAAACGAAAGGUUCAUUACAUUUUAUUUCUUUUAAAAUCACACAAUGACGAUGAAACGGCAGGAAUAAAAAAUCAAAUGUCUCAUUGCAGCAGAGUGUCCCCACAGACAGCGUACAGUGUCUCACACUGAGACACAGUUUAUUUAAUGUCCUCUGGGUGUCCUCGCCUUCUGUCUGUGACAACCAAUCACAUCUGUUCAAAUAAUGUUCAGGGAUGAACCUGCUGGACAUCAGGACCAGGAACUGGUCUGAGAUCUGCCUGGAAGCCACCGCCCCUCACCUGGAGCGCCUGCUGGGAGCCCCGCUGCCCUCCACGUCUGUACUGGGUCCCGUCUGCUCCUACUUUGUGCAGCGAUAUGGUUUCUCCGAGCGCUGCAGCGUGGUGGCUUUCACUGGAGACAACCCGGGUAAAAGUUCCA